rnacentral:misc_RNA from 1 species
GUUUGAAAGAAGCAUGCAACACAGAACAGCAUUGGCAACAUGAAUGUUUUAAAACCAAGUUAAUUUAGGAAAGUUUACACGCUAAUCUAUGGAAUACAAUGUUUCUGUAAUUUGCUAUAUGUGAAAUUUAAACAUCCACAAUUGCCUGUAGUCAUGCAUGUUCAGAAAUCUUUCAUAUCUGGAACAAAACUUGGCUACCACGAAAUGAUCUAUGCUACAAAAAACAGCAAUGACUAAUGAAUAAGCCUCCAGGCCUGCUGCAGGAUUUCAUCAUUUAAGUAAGGAUGCAAUGACCACAUAAGGCAAUAACUCUCCAUCUCCCCAGACAAAGAUUUGAGAUUUAGUGAAGUAACAAUCCUUUCCUGCAUCAUGUAGUCUUGCUUUACCAUUCCGUAAAUGAUCCCCAUAAGGGCAGCAUAAUCUGUCAUUCCAAGUUCCUGAAGAUCUGCUGAAGAUGUUUCUUCCUGGUUAACAGUUGCUUGUUGAUCAAAUUUUUCACAUAGAUCUUCAUCCCUCAAAAGUGAGAAACUUCCAUUGGCAGUUUUAAUUGCAGUAGUUAAAUCCUCCAGAAGAUUUUCAAGUUCAUUUAGUAUGGUUUUUGCUUUAGUUAAAUGAUCAUGAAGUCCGAGUAGGCAUGUAUGCAACUUGCUUAUGUUUUGUAUGCUAUCAUGAUUGGUGAUAAAACCAGCUGCCAUAUAUGAUUUAAACCUCUCUGUCUCAUUGGCUCGGAUGAUAUUCUCUAUUAACUCAGAUUUCCUGUUUAUUGGAGGCCGCCGAAGAAAUUCAAGCCCUUGCUGAAACCCACCAAGUAAUCUACUUCCAACAGCCCCAAGUUCCUCAAAAUUUGCGACCCUACAAGUAAAAGGAAAAUUCCACUUUAAAUCGGUUCCAGAACUGUGCGGGCGCUGAGCAUUUUCUUCUUGCAGUUACCUCGUCAAAAAAUCUUUGAAAAUCUGAAAAAUCUUCUCUUUUAAUUCAGCUUUAAACAGCCCUUCUUUGCUUCCCAUGCUUUUCCUUUGUCGUUUUGUAUUAUAACGCCAAGCUUUUGAUGGGCCAAAACCCAAAACCCAAAAGAGGCGCAGCUGCAGGAAGGAUUAGGAAGC